rnacentral:lncRNA from 1 species
GGAGAAUGCAGUGAGGAAAGCAAGGAUGACCAGACUCUAGGAGCAUGGAUGCAGGCAGCCAGCUGCUGCUGAAAACUGUCACUCUUCCAGCUUUGAGUUCUCUGAGUACUCAAAGGUUUGUGAGAAAUGAAGGGCUUUGAAAGCAAAGCUGGAGAAAACUUCAAGAAUGUAAGUCCAGUAUUCAAAGGGAGGUGGACUGGGAGGUCUCCUGAACAGCAGCGGCAUAAUCACCAUUUAUGAGCUGUGAUGUGAUAGUCUUUGUGUUGCAGAAUUUCAGCUAACAAAUUAAAAUCAAAGUCACGUGGUAGUUAG